rnacentral:lncRNA from 1 species
AUGACCAUUCUUAUCACCAUUUACUUAGGAACAGCUGAGAAUUCAGUCAUGUGGCAGUCAGCAACUAUAAUCUUUCUAAUCCAGAUUUUCUACUUCUGCCUUUUAAUCCCUGGUUGGUUACUCCAAUCUAGAUUUCUUCCCUCUAAGAAAUUUGCUAAAGUCUCCAAAAGGUUUUUGGAGGGAGAAAAUGCUACGAAAGAUCAUUCUGGAAUUUCAGAAAAGCCUCUUUGCAGUCAACAUCCACAGAAAAGAAAUAGAAGCAAUUGAUCUACAAGGACCUGCCUUUGAAACAUUGAUACAUUAAGGAUAUGUUCAUGUGUGGAUGUGAUGGAACUGAGGUUACUAGGUUCAUGCUACCUAGAGCAUGAGGCUGACAAAUAGAGAAGCACUGAGUCAAAUGAAUCUUGGAAAAAUGGAGCUAGAAGAAAACCGGAGUAAGCCUGUCUCUGAAAGGGCACUACCUUUGGAUAUCCAGCAGUGGGACCCAGUAUUUUUUCUUGUUGUUUAAUCUCAUUUCUGUUACUUGCAGCCAAAGGCUCUUAAUGAGAAAAUGGCUCUACCUUGUUUUCUGAAAGUUGCCUGUCGUUCCACCCUUCCCUAUUACAACACUCAUCUCUUUAAUUCACAUCCAAUAACUGAUGUUUUCUUAACUAAUCUACAUCCUCUCAUUCUCUCCUCCUUCUAAUUCACCUUUCAUACUGUUGCCAGGUGACUUUUCCUAAAAGACAACUUUCAUGAUGUCAUUCUACUUCAAAAAUUCCUAUAAUCGUUUCUUUUUGCUUUUAGUCCAAACUCCUCAGAUAUGUUUUUAAGGCUUUUCAUAAUUGAAUUUCUUUUAUACACCUAAGAUGAUUUCUCUGUGUUCCCAAAUGUACAAUUGACAGUCCUUCCUCCUGAUGUUCUCUCAAGUAAGAAAUGUUUCCUCUAUGUAAAUUCAGUAUAGCUUUUAGUCUCUAUUCAAGUUCUACCUUUAUUCAUAAAUUUCUCCUGAAUAGAGUCAGCCUACAUCCAUUUAAACAGUCUUCAUUAGGUGCACAUUAUGUGCCAGGUACUCAACAAGGCAGUGGAACUAUGAAGACAGAUAAUCACAGUCCCUCUUGCCUCUGGGAGCAGGCAGUUGAAUGCAAUGCUUUUUAAAGUUUUAAGUAAUGUGGUCAUGCAAAAUCUUAUAGAUACAAAUUUGAAUUUAUAGAGUUUAAUUACCAAGCUAGUGAGACUUAAUGUUGCAGUUAAUAAAAAGUUUGAAAUCAAGGUAUAUAGGUAAGUAUAGUGGUCUUAUAUUUAGC